AUGAACGCUAGCUACAGGCUUAACACAUGCAAGUCGAGGGGCAGCAUGGUCUUAGCUUGCUAAGACUGAUGGCGACCGGCGCACGGGUGAGUAACACGUAUCCAACCUGCCGUCUACUCUUGGACAGCCUUCUGAAAGGAAGAUUAAUACAAGAUGGCAUCAUGAGUCCGCAUGUUCACAUGAUUAAAGGUAUUCCGGUAGACGAUGGGGAUGCGUUCCAUUAGAUAGUAGGCGGGGUAACGGCCCACCUAGUCUUCGAUGGAUAGGGGUUCUGAGAGGAAGGUCCCCCACAUUGGAACUGAGACACGGUCCAAACUCCUACGGGAGGCAGCAGUGAGGAAUAUUGGUCAAUGGGCGAGAGCCUGAACCAGCCAAGUAGCGUGAAGGAUGACUGCCCUAUGGGUUGUAAACUUCUUUUAUAAAGGAAUAAAGUCGGGUAUGGAUACCCGUUUGCAUGUACUUUAUGAAUAAGGAUCGGCUAACUCCGUGCCAGCAGCCGCGGUAAUACGGAGGAUCCGAGCGUUAUCCGGAUUUAUUGGGUUUAAAGGGAGCGUAGAUGGAUGUUUAAGUCAGUUGUGAAAGUUUGCGGCUCAACCGUAAAAUUGCAGUUGAUACUGGAUAUCUUGAGUGCAGUUGAGGCAGGCGGAAUUCGUGGUGUAGCGGUGAAAUGCUUAGAUAUCACGAAGAACUCCGAUUGCGAAGGCAGCCUGCUAAGCUGCAACUGACAUUGAGGCUCGAAAGUGUGGGUAUCAAACAGGAUUAGAUACCCUGGUAGUCCACACGGUAAACGAUGAAUACUCGCUGUUUGCGAUAUACUGCAAGCGGCCAAGCGAAAGCGUUAAGUAUUCCACCUGGGGAGUACGCCGGCAACGGUGAAACUCAAAGGAAUUGACGGGGGCCCGCACAAGCGGUGGAGCAUGUGGUUUAAUUCGAAGCAACGCGAAGAACCUUACCAGGUCUUGACAUCCGAUGCAUAGCUUAGAGAUAAGUGAAGUCCUUCGGGACAUCGAGACAGGUGGUGCAUGGUUGUCGUCAGCUCGUGCCGUGAGGUGUCGGCUUAAGUGCCAUAACGAGCGCAACCCUUGUUGUCAGUUACUAACAGGUUCCGCUGAGGACUCUGACAAGACUGCCAUCGUAAGAUGUGAGGAAGGUGGGGAUGACGUCAAAUCAGCACGGCCCUUACGUCCGGGGCUACACACGUGUUACAAUGGGGGGUACAGAAGGCCGCUACCACGCGAGUGGAUGCCAAUCCCCAAAACCUCUCUCAGUUCGGACUGGAGUCUGCAACCCGACUCCACGAAGCUGGAUUCGCUAGUAAUCGCGCAUCAGCCACGGCGCGGUGAAUACGUUCCCGGGCCUUGUACACACCGCCCGUCAAGCCAUGGGAGCCGGGGGUACCUGAAGUGCGUAACCGCGAGGAGCGCCCUAGGGUAAAACUGGUGACUGGGGCU
rnacentral:rRNA from 1 species